rnacentral:rRNA from 1 species
ACCAGACUUGCCCUCCAAUUGUUCCUUGUUAAGGGGUUUAAAUUGUACUCAUUCCAAUUACAAGACUUUUGUCAAGACCUGUAUUGUUAUUUAUUGUCACUACCUCCUCGUAUCGAGAUUGGGUAAUUUGCGCGCCUGCUGCCUUCCUUGGAAGUGGUAGCCAUUUCUCAGGCUCCCUCUCCGGAAUCGAACCCUAAUUCUCCGUUACCCGUUACAACCAUGGUAGUCCACUACACUACCAUCGAAAGUUGAUAGGGCAGAAAUUUGAAUGAAUCAUUGCCGGUGCGAGACCAUGCAAUUCGCGAAGUUAUUAUGAAUCAACAAUGUACCAGAGGUUGCCCCCUGCAUUGGUUUUUUAUCUAAUAAAUACAUCCCUUCCAAGAGUCGGGAUUUUUAGCAUGUAUUAGCUCUAGAAUUACUACGGUUAUCCAAGUAGUAAGGUAUUAUCAAAUAAACUAUAGCUGAUUUAAUGAGCCGUUCGCAGUUUCACAGUAUAAGUGCUUAUACUUAGACAUGCAUGGCUUAAAUCUUUAAGACAAGCAUAUGACUACUGGCAGGAUCAACCAG